ACGGAGGGUCCGAGCGUUAAUCGGAAUUACUGGGCGUAAAGCGCGCGUAGGUGGUUAUUUAAGUCGGAUGUGAAAGCCCUGGGCUCAACCUGGGAACUGCAUUCGAUACUGGAUAACUAGAGUAUGAGAGAGGAGAGUAGAAUUCCUUGUGUAGCAGUGAAAUGCGUAGAUAUGAGGAGGAAUACCAGUGGCGAAGGCGGCUCUCUGGCUUAAUACUGACACUGAGGUGCGAAAGCGUGGGUAGCAAACGGG
rnacentral:rRNA from 1 species